rnacentral:rRNA from 1 species
UACGAACUGUGCGAACGUUAUUCGGAAUCACUGGGCUUACAGGGUGCGUAGGCGGCUUGUCAAGUAGGGUGUGAAAGCCCCCGGCUCAACCGGGGAAUUGCGCCCUAAACUGGCGAGCUAGAGUGAGAUAGGGGUGUGUGGAACUUCCGGUGGAGCGGUGAAAUGUGUUGAUAUCGGAAGGAACGCCGGUGGCGAAAGCGACACACUGGAUCUUGUCUGACGCUGAGGCACGAAAGCCAGGGGAGCGAACAGG